GACGAACGCUGGCGGCGUGCUUAACACAUGCAAGUCGAACGGAAAGGCCCUGCUUUUGUGGGGUGCUCGAGUGGCGAACGGGUGAGUAACACGUGAGUAACCUGCCCUUGACUUUGGGAUAACUUCAGGAAACUGGGGCUAAUACCGGAUAGGAGCUCCUGCUGCAUGGUGGGGGUUGGAAAGUUUCGGCUGUUGGGGAUGGACUCGCGGCUUAUCAGCUUGUUGGUGUGGUAGUGGCUUACCAAGGCUUUGACGGGUAGCCGGCCUGAGAGGGUGACCGGCGACAUUGGGACUGAGAUACGGCCCAGAAUCCUACGGGAGGCAGUAGUGGGGAAUAUUGCACAAUGGGCGGAAGCCUGAUGCAGAAACGCCGCGUGCGGGAUGACGGCCUACGGGUUGUAAACAGAUUUCGCCUGUGACGAAGAGUGAGUGACGGUAAUGGGUAAAGAAGCAACGGCUAACUACGUG
rnacentral:rRNA from 1 species